GCAGCGGUGGUUCAGUGGCAGAAUUCUCUCCUUCCAAGAGGGAGACCUGGGUUCAGCUUCUGGUCAGUGCA
rnacentral:tRNA from 1 species